rnacentral:rRNA from 1 species
CACGGGGGGAGCAAGCGUUGUUCGGAAUCACUGGGCGUAAAGGGCGCGUAGGCGGUUCGUACAGUCAGACGUGAAAUUCCUGGGCUCAACCUGGGGGCUGCGUUUGAUACGUGCGGACUUGAGUGCGGAAGAGGGUCGUGGAAUUCCCAGUGUAGAGGUGAAAUUCGUAGAUAUUCGGAAGAACACCAGUGGCGAAGGCGGCUCACUGGUCCGGUACUGACGCUGAGGUGCGAAAGCGUGGGGAGCGAACAGG